GGCAAGCCUUUGGUCCCCGCACACAUGGGUUCCACACGCAGGCAAGCCUUUGGUCGCCGCACACACGGGUUCCACAGGCAGGCAAGCCUUUGGUCCCCCGCACACAUGGGUUCCACAGGCAGGCAAGCCUUUGGUCCCCCGCACACACGGGUUCCACAGGCAGGCAAGCCUUUGGUCCCCUGCACACACGGGUUCCACAGGCAGGCAAGCCUUUGGUCCCCACACACACGGGUUCCACAGGCAGGCAAGCCUUUGGUCCCCGCACACACGGGUUCCACAGGCAGGCAAGCCUUUGGUCCCUCGCACACACGGGUUCCACAUGCAGGCAAGC